GAUGAACGCUGGCGGCGUGCUUAACACAUGCAAGUCGAACGGUGAAGCCCUGCGGGCUGCUUGGGUUGGUGGCGAACGGGUGAGUAGCACGUAAGCUACCCGCCCCUUUCGCUGAGCUAAGGGCUGGAAACGGUAUCACAGACUAGAUAUCUCCCGUCACCGCAUUGUGUGUGGGUGGAAAGUUGUUUCGGUUGGGGAUGGGCUCGCGGCCUAUCAGCUUGUUGGUGAGGUAAUGGCUCACCAAGGCGUCGACGGGUAGCCGGCCUGAGAGGGUGACCGGCCACACUGGGACUGAGACACGGCCCAGACUCCUACGGGAGGCAGCAGUGGGGAAUAUUGCACAAUGGGCGGAAGCCUGAUGCAGCAACGCCGCGUGAGGGAUGACGGCCUUCGGGUUGUAAACCUCUUUUAGCAGGGAAGAAGCGAAAGUGACGGUACCUGCAGAAGAAGCGCCGGCUAACUACGUG
rnacentral:rRNA from 1 species